rnacentral:SRP_RNA from 2 species
GCCGGGUGUGGUGGCCCACGCCUGUAAUCCCAGCACUUUGGGAGGCCGAGGCGGGUGGAUCACCUGAGGUCAGGAGUUUGAGACCAGCCUGGCCAACAUGGUGAAACCCCGUCUCUA